AGAGCGAACGCUGGCGGCAGGCCUAACACAUGCAAGUCGAGCGCCCGUAGCAAUACGGGAGCGGCAGACGGGAUAGUAACGCGUGGGAACGCGCCCUUCGGUUCGGAAUAACUCAGGGAAACUUGAGCUAAUACCGGAUACGCCCUUACGGGGAAAGAUUUAUUGCCGAAGGAACGGCCCGCGUCCGAUUAGCUAGUUGGUGAGGUAAUGGCUCACCAAGGCGACGAUCGGUAGCUGGUCUGAGAGGAUGACCAGCAUCACUGGGACUGAGACACGGCCCAGACUCCUACGGGAGGCAGCAGUGGGGAAUAUUGGACAAUGGGCGCAAGCCUGAUCCAGCCAUGCCGCGUGGAUGAUGAAGGCCUUAGGGUUGUAAAGUCCUUUUAACGGGGAAGAUAAUGACGGUACCCGUAGAAUAAGCCCGGCUAACUUCGUGCCAGCAGCCGC
rnacentral:rRNA from 1 species